rnacentral:rRNA from 1 species
AUGAAACCAGCCAACCCUAAUAGCUCCAGCUAUAUAGAAUUCGAUGGUGACGCAUCAACAUUUCCCCAUUCAACUUUAGACGCGUCUGUUGUCACUCAUGACAAUGAUCUAGCUAGGAGGCAACGUGAUAAUGAGCGGAAAAGAAAUUUAACAAACGCGCAAAGAGAGCAAAUAAACGCACAGAGGCGUGCAGAAUAUCAGCGGAAUAAGGACAAGGUAUCUGUUGAUGUCAGAGAAACUGUGAAUGAAAAAGUACGAGAGAAGCGAAUGCAACGUCGCAAAAGCAUGUCAGUGAUUGAGAAGGGGGGGUCAAGUGCUCAGAGGAAGUCCAAUUAUGCUAGGAGAAAAAACACCCCAUGCAACGAAUCCAUCGCACUCCCACGUCCAGACCUAGCAAACUCAACCUCUGAAUGUCCCACAUUAAUCUGCCGUGCAUCAUCCGUCGCUGGGGCCGCCGAAGAUGAUUCAUCUGAUGGCGACACUCCGACGAACAAGACGAAUUACAAUAUUGAUAUCGAAGGUAUGAAAUCGCUAAUGUCACUUUCUUCUGCUCAUUACCAGCAACCAUCUUCUAACAUGCCCUUAUCUCCUGUGACAUUCGCAACGACGAAUGUCCAGAGGACAUCGAAUUUUUACAAAGCGGCGCCAUGGGCGAUGAGCCGACAGCAGCCGAAUUGA